rnacentral:rRNA from 1 species
UACAGAGGAUGCAAGCGUUAUCCGGAAUGAUUGGGCGUAAAGCGUCUGUAGGUGGCUUUUUAAGUCCGCCGUCAAAUCCCAGGGCUCAACUCUGGACAGGCGGUGGAAACUACCAAGCUGGAGUACGGUAGGGGCAGAGGGAAUUUCCGGUGGAGCGGUGAAAUGCGUAGAGAUCGGGCGGAACACCAGCGGCGAGGGCGGCAUCCUGGUCCUGUUCUGACGCUGAGGCGCGAGAGCGUGGGGAGCGAACUGG